rnacentral:rRNA from 1 species
GACGAACGCUGGCGGCGUGGAUUAGGCAUGCAAGUCGAACGGUAUCAUCCUUUCGGGGGUGAGAGAGUGGCGAACUGGUGAGUAACACGUAGGUUAUCUACCCUCAAGACGGGGACAACCCAGGGAAACUUGGGCUAAUACCGGAUGUGAGCAACUUUUAGUUGUUUGAAAGGUGGCGUAAGCUGUCGCUUGGGGAUGAGCCUGCGUCCUAUUAGUUAGUUGGUGAGGUAACGGCUCACCUAGGCAAUGAUAGGUAGGCGGCCUUAACGGGGUGGUCGCCCACACUGGGAUUGAGAUACGGCCCAGACUCCUACGGGAGCAGCAGUCGAGAAUAGUCUACAAUGGUCGGAAGACUGAUAGUGCGACGCCGCGUGAACGAUGAAUCCCUUCGGGGUGUAAAGUUCUUUUAUAUGUGAGCAGUGCUUCUUAUAUUAACAGUAUGGGGAGAGAGAUAUUAGCAUAUGAAUAAGCAACGGCUAACUCCGUGCCAGCAGCCGCGGU